rnacentral:misc_RNA from 1 species
ACAAAAUUAGAUUUUAUUUUAUAAAAUCGAAAAUUAGUUUAAAUCUUUUUUUAAAAGAUUUAUUCUUCCACAUUAUGUGAACUGUAUUAUUGUUAAAUUUUCUUGAGGAAUUAGAAUUUUUUUUUUGAAAAAUAAAAGAAAUAUAAUUUAUUUUAAACUCAAGAAAAUAUUUUUUAUAUUAAACUUUCUAGAUUAAUUUUUUGUCUUUAAAUUUUUUAAAUAAUUUUAAUUUAAAA